GUCAGUAGGGGACACUGGGAGACAUGGGGACACAGACACUUGGGACACUUAGACACUUGGAUACAUUGUGUCCCUAGUGUCUCAGUGUUACCAUGUGUGUCUGUUUCCCCAUGUCUCAGUGACCCCAAGUGUCUGUGUCCCCAUGUCUCCCAGUGCCCCCUAGUGUCU